AAUUUUGUGGCUAAGCUACUAAGAGCAAACGGUGGAUGCCUUGGUGUCAAGAGGCGAUGAAAGACGUGGAAAGCUGCGAUAAGCCUCGGGGAGCUGCUAAACAAGCUUUGAUCCGGGGAUUUCUGAAUGGGGGAACCCGUUACGGCUAAUACCGUGACAUUGCAGGCUGAAUACAUAGGUCUGCGAGGCGAACGAGGUGAACUGAAACAUCUUAGUAACCUCAGGAAGAGAAAAAAAUAGUGAUUUCCCAAGUAGCGGCGAGCGAACGGGAAACAGCCCAAACCCUUUAUAUGUCAAGCCCGGAAGCGUUGUAUAAUGGGGGUCGAGGGAUCUGAUUGGAUGGAGUUCCGGCUCUGUCGGGAAGUAAAAAAUCUGAUAUUUAGUUGAAGCGUCUGGAAAGUCGCACCAUAGAAGGUGACAGUCCUGUAAACGAAAAGUAUCAGACUUCCUGGAUCGGACACCCAAGUACCGCGGGACACGAGGAACCCUGUGGGAAUUUAUGAGGACCAUCUCAUAAGGCUAAAUACUACUUGACGACCGAUAGUGGACUAGUACCGUGAGGGAAAGGUGAAAAGUACUCCUGUGAGGAGAGUGAAAUAGUACCUGAAACCGUUUGCUUACAAGCAGUGGGAGCACUAUGAAUAUGCUUUCGGGCGUAUUCAGUGUGACCGCGUGCCUUUUGCAUAAUGAGUCAGCGAGUUACUUUACGCAGCGAGGUUAAGCCGUUAGGUGUAGCCGUAGCGAAAGCGAGUCUGAAUAGGGCGAUUGAGUUGUGUGAAGUAGACCCGAAACCAGGUGAUCUAUCCAUGGCCAGAGUGAAGCGCAAGUAAAAUUGCGUGGAGGCUCGAACCGGUGUAUGUUGAAAAAUGCUCGGAUGAGCUGUGGAUAGGGGUGAAAGGCCAAACAAACUUGGAAAUAGCUGGUUCUCCCCGAAAUAUAUUUAGGUAUAGCCUUGCAUAUGAGUAACGGGGGU
rnacentral:rRNA from 1 species